rnacentral:tRNA from 1 species
GGUGCCGUGGUCAAGCGGUCAAGACGCCGCCCCUUCAAGGCGGAAGCGCGGGUUCGACUCCCGCCGGCAUCA